rnacentral:rRNA from 1 species
UCAUGUCGUGACUCUAGCGGCGGACGGGUGAGUAACACGUGGGUAACCUGCCCUCGAGUCCGGGAUACCUCCUCGAAAGGGGGGCUAAUACUGGAUACGUUCCCCGGGUCACACGGCCUGGGGAGGAAAGGUAGCUCGCAAGGGCUGCCGCUCGUGGAGGGGCUCGCGGCCUAUCAGCUAGUUGGUAGGGUAACGGCCUACCAAGGCGAUGACGGGUAGCUGGUCUGAGAGGACGACCAGCCACACGGGAACUGAGACACGGUCCCCACUCCUACGGGAGGCAGCAGCAGGGAAUCUUGCGCAAUGGGCGAAAGCCUGACGCAGCGACACCGCGUGGAGGAAGAAGGCCUUCGGGUUGUAAACUCCUUUUCUCGGGGAAGAAUAAUGACGGUACUCGAGGAAUAAGGUUCGGCUAACUACGUGCCAGCAGCCGCGGUAAUACGUAGGAACCAAGCGUUGUCCGGAUUUACUGGGCGUAAAGCGCGUGUAGGUGGCUGGUUAAGUCUCAUGUGAAAUCUCCCGGCUCAACUGGGAGGGGUCAUGGGAAACUGGCCGGCUCGAGGGGAGUAGAGGGAAGCGGAAUUCCUGGAGUAGUGGUGAAAUACGUAGAUACCAGGAGGAACACCUGUGGCGAAAGCGGCUUCCUAGGCUUCUCCUGACACUGAGACGCGAAAGCGUGGGGAGCGAACCGGAUUAGAUACCCGGGUAGUCCACGCCCUAAACUAUGGAUACUGGGUAUAGGGGGUAUCGACCCCUCCUGUGCCGAAGCUAACACGUUAAGUAUCCCGCCUGGGGAGUACGGCCGCAAGGCUAAAACUCAAAGGAAUUGACGGGGGCCCGCACAAGCAGCGGAGCGUGUGGUUUAAUUCGAUGCUAAGCGAAGAACCUUACCAGGACUUGAACUGUACCUGUAAGCCGGAGAAAUCCGGCCCUCCCUUCGGGGACGGGUACAGAGG